GCAAUCAUCGCUGACAUGCUGGUUGAGUUGGACCGCCGGCAGGAGGCGGAGAGACCACUGCACCAGCCUGCACCAGCAAUAAACUAGCCGGGAGUUUCUAUAGUGGGCGAAGAAGAAGAAGGUUCAAGUGUCGAGGUUGAAAUUCAGAAACCAUCGAUUCAGUCUUGCAACGUCAGCGAGCUACAUAGAUGGCUCGAAGGAGGGGGCGAAAUACUGAAGUGUGUACAUGAGAUGGCGGCAGCUGAGGACGCUGAAAGGCGGCGCCAUCUCGUCCUUUUGGGUGAGGAGGAAAUACUGGACUGGGUGGGGGAACUACCAGAAAGCCCAACCGAACUGCUCAAGCCUUGGACCCAGAGUAGGCGUCACCAACACCGCCACCACAACAUCUAGUCGUGGUACGGGUGCCUGGAGCAGUGGUUGCGGGGGCGGGACUCAAACACACGCUCGGCUGGCGUGCAGUGCCCAGCAACAACAACGCGCCACUGCCGCUGCGCUGUCUCAUACACUCUGGCGUCUGUGGGUUGUCCAGUCGGUGGAAGAAGAAGAGCAACGAUGUCCCAGCCCUCAGGCUGGCGGUGGUGAACGCUCCAGCAGGCAGCAGCAGUACCAACAUGGGUGCUCCCACUGGGCCUCACCGUCGCAGCCUCCCACUACUCCAAAAAAAAUGGUUCAAAUGCCUCUGAGGUCAUCAGUCCCCUAGAACUUAGAACUAGUCAAACCUAACUAACCUAAGGACAUCACACACAUCCAUGCCCAAGGCAGGAUUCGAACCUGCGACCGUAGCUGUCGCGUGAUUCCAGACUGUAGCGCCCAGAACCGCUCGGCCACCACGGCCGGCCCCACUACUCCAGCCCACGCUGAUCGGCCUCGCCGACCAAAGGCGUGUGUGCCUCGGCGCAUCCCCCUCAUCCCAGCGAGCGCCUCCUCCUCAGCGCUGCCAUCCACCAGGCAGACGCAGUCGUCGCCUUCAUCUACUAGACGUAGUAUUAACGACAGUGUUAAUGAUAAUGAUGCUGUGGCUACCGGCAGUUCCCUCUCCCGUCCUUUCGGUGAAAGACAUCAGGUCAGUGACACUAUAUCGCAGUUAGAAUACUCGGUGAUUGUGGUCACCUUUAACGAGUGAAUUUCGUUCACAGGGAUCGAGAAUCCGGCAUGAGGCUACCACGAUCCUGUGCCUUCCUACCAUGGAGAAAGAGCUCCUCAGGGUCGUUAACAAUCGCCGUAUCCCACCAUAAAAUGCGGUGCAGUGCUGUGUAUCGGACUGUCACCCUCACCCACCGCCCCCCAAAGCUGCCAUUGGUAUUGGAGAGAAAAGUCUUCAUUAUCUUUGGGGGAAAAUGGUGUAAUAACGUGGAGCGUAUCAAUUGCCGAGUGGUUUCCUGAAUCCACCUUGAGAGCCAUACUGGCCCGGUUUUCCGAUACGGAAGUUAAGAGUCAAAGCACUCAGCCGAAUACUGAACCUGGGCCUCCACACACAUGUCUACGAUCUAGUAAAUGGAACGUCCAUCUAUAUUAAGUUCCCUAACGAUAUAGCUGAUAAGAAGGCAUGUAUGCCGGCCGAAGUGGCCCAGCGGUUCUAGGCGCUACAGUCUAGAACCGUGCGACCGCUACGGA
rnacentral:lncRNA from 1 species